GUCCUGGUUUAGUCCUGGUCUAGUCCUGGUCUAAUCCUGGUCUAGUCCUGGUCUAUCCCUGUUUUUAGUCCUGGUUUAGUCCUGGUUUAUCCCUGUUUUUAGUCCUGGUUUAGUCCUGGUUUAGACCUGGUUUAGUCCUGGUUUAGUCCUGGU